UCAACCAACAGUGUCAGGAUCGGCAGC
rnacentral:piRNA from 1 species